rnacentral:rRNA from 1 species
AUGAACGCUGGCGGCGUGCCUAAUACAUGCCAGUCGAGCGAACGGACGAGAAGCUUGCUUCUCUGAUGUUAGCGGCGGACGGGUGAGUAACACGUGGAUAAUCUACCUAUAAGACUGGGAUAACUUCGGGAAACCGGAGCUAAUACCGGAUGAUAUUUUGAACCGCAUGGUUCAAAAGUGAAAGACGGUCUUGCUGUCACUUAUAGAUGGAUCCGCGCUGCAUUAGCUAGUUGGUAAGGUAACGGCUUACCAAGGCAACGAUGCAUAGCCGACCUGAGAGGGUGAUCGGCCACACUGGAACUGAGACACGGUCCAGACUCCUACGGGAGGCAGCAGUAGGGAAUCUUCCGCAAUGGGCGAAAGCCUGACGGAGCAACGCCGCGUGAGUGAUGAAGGUCUUCGGAUCGUAAAACUCUGUUAUUAGGGAAGAACAUAUGUGUAAGUAACUGUGCACAUCUUGACGGUACCUAAUCAGAAAGCCACGGCUAACUACGUG